rnacentral:tRNA from 1 species
CGGUGGUCUAGUGGUUAGAAUAGUGGUAUGCAGACCCUAUGCUCCGGGAUCGAAUCCGCUCA